AACGUGAUUGCAGCAGUACCAUUCUCCUCAUCUAUCUCUUCAAUCUCGGCUUCGUAACACCUGUAAAGAUAUCAUGGCUGUAAGCAUUGCCUUUAGACACUACAGAGUGAAGUCAUGUAUUCACAGAGCAGAUACAGCACAGUACACAGCAAUGCAAGUUUCCACCCACUGCCCUGCCAUUGUGAUUGGACCUGGAAGAACAACUUCUAUGGGUCUGAGCUCUAACACUGCUCCUUCACUCACAGAGCGGGUGGUAGUAGCAGUAAUCUGCAAAUCCAGGAAGCAUCAUGGCU